GAUCUAGGUGUAUGGAAGAUGGGA
rnacentral:snRNA from 1 species